GGUCCUUGUGCUUGCUGGGCAGGUGGCAGAACCACUGAGCUAAAUCCCCAGCCCUGAAUGUCUUUUCUUCAUUCCUCACUGUUCUCCCUCCAAGGAUCUUCGAGCUGAGCAGGACACAGCAGUUGGCACCUGAAACAGGCAGACUAUGAGACAAAUAACAUUUUCAGUCCAGAGCCCAGCACUGAAAAGAUAACUGGGCUAAAAAGACAGGCAAUAUUUUGGAUCUGGGCCUCCAAAGUCAAGAAAGAUCCAGGACAUGAGGGAACCUUUUCUACAAAUCCUACAUUUUUGGGUCUUGCUAUGAAGGUCAGGCUGGCCAUGAACACACUACACACCCCAGGCUGGCCUCAAACUCACAGCGAUCCUCCUGCCUCAGCCUCAUGAGUGGUGGGAUUACAGGCUUGAAAUGUUUGUCUUUGUGUUUUAGGGAUAUUUCUUGUAAAGCAUAUAGCUGGACAUUUAAAACAUACAACCUUAUGUCUUAUCACUUAAUAGAACAUUUAUUGUGAUUAUUGAUAAUUUUAGUUGUGUGUGUGUGUGUGUGUGUGUGUGUGUGUGUGUAUGGUGCAGGGGAUUAAACCCAGGGCCUUGUGCAUACUAAGCAUGUGCUCUACCAGUAAGCUAUAGCCCCAGCCCAAUUUUAGCUUUAUUUCUACAAUCAGUUGCAUUCUGAUUUCUGGUUUUUCUGAUGGGAAGUCUGUUGUCUAUAUAAUUGUUCUUUUCAAGUAACUUGUUUUUUACAGUCUGAUUUCUCUUAAGAUCUUUUGUAUGUGCUUGUGUUUGUAGAUAUUUUGCAGAUUUAUUUCAGAACAUCUAGGAGGAUGUUUAUGUUUAUUUUUAUUUAUCCUGUUUAGGAUUUUUUGUGAUUUCAAAAUGUGUGGAUUGGA
ensembl:lncRNA